AAUCAACGCUGGCGGCGUGCCUCAGACAUGCAAGUCGAACGCGAAAUUUCCCUUCGGGGAGAAAGUAGAGUGGCGCACGGGUGAGUAACACGUGGGUAAUUUGCCUUCGGGUGGGGAAUAACGUCUCGAAAGAGACGCUAAUACCGCAUGAUGCAGCGGCACCACAUGGUGACAGUUGUUAAAGCGGGGGAUCGCAAGACCUCGCGCCUGAAGAGAAGCCCGCGGCGGAUUAGCUAGUUGGUAAGGUAAUGGCUUACCAAGGCAACGAUCUGUAGCCGGCCUGAGAGGGCGGUCGGCCACACUGACACUGAAUAACGGGUCAGACUCCUACGGAGGCAGCAGUCGGGAAUUUUGGGCAAUGGGCGCAAGCCUGACCCAGCAACGCCGCGUGAAGGAUGAAGUAUUUC
rnacentral:rRNA from 1 species